UUGGAGGGCAAGUCUGGUGCCAGCAGCCGCGGUAAUUCCAGCUCCAAUAGCGUAUAUUAAAGUUGUUGCAGUUAAAAAGCUCGUAGUUGAAUUUCGGGGUUAGUAGGUUGGUCAUGCCUCCGGUAUGUACUGAUCUCACUGAUUCCUCCUUCCUUAUGAACCGUAAUGCCAUUAAUUUGGUGUUGCGGGGAAUUUGGACUGUUACUUUGAAAAAAUUAGAGUGUUUAAAGCAGGCUAACGCUUGAAUACAUUAGCAUGGAAUAAUGAAAUAGGACGUUCGAUCUUAUUUUGUUGGUUUCUAGGAUUGACGUAAUGAUUAAUAGGGAUAGUUGGGGGCAUUAGUAUUCAAUUGUCAGAGGUGAAAUUCUUGGAUUUAUUGAAGACUAACUACUGCGAAAGCAUUUGCCAAGGAUGUUUUCAUUAAUCAAGAACGAAAGUUAGGGGAUCGAAGACGAUCAGAUACCGUCGUAGUCUUAACCAUAAACUAUGCCGACUAGGAAUCGGAUGAUGUUAAUUUUUUAAUGACUCAUUCGGCGCCUUACGGGAAAC
rnacentral:rRNA from 1 species